CACAACCUGAGCUGAAGGCAGACGCUCAACCUCUGAGCCACCCAGGUGCUCCUUGUUGUCUUUUUAAAAUGAGAAUUUUGGGUUAGGUGAGCUAAAAGUUCCUUUCCAUGUUUCUGAUUUUAACAGCUAAGUCUUCCUAAGUGAAGGUAUUCCAUGACUUGCUGUGGAGAACUCAGAAGGAUGACAUGAAUUUUUAAUCUGCAAAUGGCUGCUGCUAACUUUGUGAAACCUGAUUGUUCUCAUAUGUAGGUUAAACAUAUCCCUCAUGUAUUAUUUGCAUUGUUCAAUUAUUUAAUGCAUCCUUUUUUCAUAACAGUGCAAAAGUAAACUUUUGCACUGACCCUUCUAUAUAGUCACAAAUUCUGCUUAAGUAAAAUCCAAAGCACUGAUGCUUUCCUAUUAAAACUAUACCACCAUCUUCAUUUUUGUUUAUAAAUAUGAUUAUAUAAAUAGUAUAACUACAUAUAAUUAUAUAAUAAAUCAUAUAAGCUCUUAUAUAAAUAUAUUUAUAAAGAUUAUUCAUUCUAAUUUUUGUGCUAUCCUUAUAUGUGAUUCUACUUUAUCUCCAUCAAAUUCUUAGUGGGUACAUGGAGCAAGGGACAAUUAUCUCCAUUUAACAUGUUUGAAAACUGAGACAGAAAGAGGCAAAAUCAUUUUACUAUUGGCUUUAGUUGACCAGAGACAGAAACAACAGGAAUCAGGUCCCCUGAUGCCCACUCCUGGUAUCAAGGUCAACAUAUAAAAUAUAUAGAAAUAAAAGUCUGGGACAAAGAGGAGGACACUGCUUAUCAGUUCCUGGCUUAUAUUAGCCAAAAGGUGUGUGUUUUCAUGACAAUCGGAAUGUGGGUAGCAGUGGAAAGGCCAUGCAAUGUGGGCAUGGUAUUGAUCUAUUGUUGAGGGGCAGAUCUGGAAUUCACUUUAAAUACUAGAGAAAAGGCAAGUGAGACUAGCCAGUCCUGGAGGUAAGUGAAACAUUGCCCUGAACCCCCUGCUGGCCCCAGGGCAUAGCUGAAUGUGCUGGCCAGGCUACGAGAACCAUCAGAUAGCUCCAAGUCUGUAGAACAAGAUAGCACGUCUGGGCACAGGCUGGCUGGCUGGCAUGGGCCCCUCCUUGCCGACGUGUUCUCCACUGGGUGCUUGAGAUUAGGCAGUGUGUUCUAGCAUUAGAGAGGCCACAUGAAGGCGAGGACGUGGGCACUUUCUGCAACUGUGCACCUCACCAGGAGCACCUGCUCAGGGGCCUCUGUUCAAAUAUUGAUGACCAGGAGCUUCAUCACAAUGGUAUACAGCCAGUGCCUCUCUGCUCCACCCUCUCCGUGAAACGGGAGUCCCCACUGAAAUGCAGGCCACUAGGGAGACAGCAGUUUCUAAGAGGUGGCCCUCUGAGAGCUCAGCUUGCAAGAUCAUCGACAGCCAUGAGAAAGGAGGACAGGGAUGGUGUAGGAAAAGAAUCGCAUACUUGAAGAACACCAUCUGAAUGGCGAGAUAUGACUGAGUGUUCUUGCCAUUGUUCUGACACUGAGAUCCAGCAAUGAGCAAAACCGACAAGAAUUGCUGCUGUAGGGGGGGCACUUGACGGGAUGAGCACUGGGUGUUAUUCUGUAUGUUGGCAAAUUGA